GGAGCCCUGGCAGUGCUGUGGUUAAGCAUUUGGCUGCUAACCAAAAGGUUGGUAGUUUGAAUCCACCAGCCUCUC
rnacentral:tRNA from 1 species